UACGUAGGUGGCAAGCGUUGUCCGGAUUUACUGGGCGUAAAGAGCGCGCAGGCGGUCGGAUCAGUCGAAUGUGAAAGCCCCCGGCUCAACUGGGGAGGGUCAUUCGAUACUGUCCGACUCGAAGGCAGGAGAGGGAAGCGGAAUUCCCGGUGUAGUGGUGAAAUGCGUAGAUAUCGGGAGGAACACCAGUGGCGAAGGCGGCUUUCUGGCCUGUUCUUGACGCUGAGGCGCGAAAGCGUGGGGAGCAAACAGG
rnacentral:rRNA from 1 species